GGGGCAGGGGCGGCUGCUCCGUGGGGAGGGGACAGGGAUGGAGGGGGCGGGGGAAGCCGGGUGCAUCGGUUUCCCGCUGUCCUAGGAAGUUCUGAGGAGGGGCUGAGGCUGCUGGGCGCCCGUCUGGGGCCGUAACAGGAGCGUUGGGCGGGCCCCGGCCGGGACCCUCUGACACCCGCUGCUGGUCCGGACAGAACCGAUGGGGAAGGCGGAAAGAAGCGGGCCCCGCUGCAGGCGGCUGCGGUGGGGAAGGAGCGUUACCUGCACCCGCGGGCCCCCCGGAGUACGGACGUUGCGGCUGGAAACACGAGCUCGCCUUGAAGGCAGCUGCGAAAACGGUUCACGUUUUAGGACAACGUAGAAGGAAAAGUUCUUCUGAAGUGGUCACUCGGCUUGGAGCUGGGAGAGAGCUGUGCAGCCCCAGAAACUAACCCUGGCUAGCAGGGACGUAUGCAUGUUAAUGAAGGAAACUCUGCCGGAAAGGAAUACAUAAAAGGAUGCCAAACUCUUUGUCCUGUGAAGAGUGAUGCAGACAAAGUGCCAGCUACUCAGCAGUGACUUUGCAAUUGAAGGGCUAUGAAUACACGACUUUCAGGUCCUGGAAGGAAGCCCUUCUGUAUGAUUACAGUUCUGAUAUCACAUUGCAUGUAACUUGGCUCUCAGAGAAUUUUUUUUUUAUAUCACGGAAAACUAGGAUCCCUGAAUAUUGCUCUUCAGUUAGCCAGGGGAGUCACUAAAGAGUAAGGUCUGAAGAACUCCCUCUCUUAAAAAACAGAAUUGAAUGCUUUGGAUCCAGUGUUCCCAAAUCUUGCUGGUCAGCGAGGACUCCCCUAGACUCUCAAGGCCAAAUUGAAGGUUACCCGUGCAGACGCCAUAGCAUGGCAAGCAUGGAGCCCGCUCAGCUCACUGCUGCUGUUGCGAGCAUUGUAAACACCUCGCGCAUUGUACUGCAGUAUGUACAGAACCUAGCUAAGAGAUGGCAGCACGAGGACGAUUGUGAGAAGAACAUGGACACAGACGUUCCUGAAAGCACGGGAUGUGGCAAUUGGGACAUCUUGGCGGCAGUGGGGCUGGUUGAUACAGUGGAAUGCCGAUUCUGGG